rnacentral:misc_RNA from 1 species
CCGGCGUCGCGGCGCGGCGAGAAGCAUCGUGACGGCCUC